CAGAGGGGGCAAGCGUUAUUCGGAAUUAUUGGGCGUAAAGGGCGCGUAGGCGGCUUUUCAAGUGACGGGUGAAAUCCCUCGGCUUAACCGAGGAACUGCCUGUCAGACUGGAAGGCUUGAGACCGGGAGAGGUGAGUGGAAUUCCCAGUGUAGCGGUGAAAUGCGUAGAUAUUGGGAGGAACACCAGUGGCGAAGGCGGCUCACUGGACCGGUACUGACGCUGAGGCGCGAAAGCGUGGGGAGCAAACAGGAUUAGAUACCCUGGUAGUCCACGCCGUAAACGAUGAGUGCUUGGUGUAGCGGGUAUCGACCCCUGCUGUGCCGACGUCAACACAUUAAGCACUCCGCCUGGGGAGUACGGUCGCAAGACUG
rnacentral:rRNA from 1 species